UACGUAGGGUGCAAGCGUUAAUCGGAAUUACUGGGCGUAAAGCGUGCGCAGGCGGUUGUGCAAGACAGAGGUGAAAUCCCCGGGCUUAACCUGGGAAUGGCCUUUGUGACUGCACGGCUAGAGUGUGUCAGAGGGGGGUAGAAUUCCACGUGUAGCAGUGAAAUGCGUAGAGAUGUGGAGGAAUACCGAUGGCGAAGGCAGCCCCCUGGGAUAACACUGACGCUCAUGCCCGAAAGCGUGGGGAGCAAACAGG
rnacentral:rRNA from 1 species